rnacentral:rRNA from 1 species
AACUUUUAACAACGGAUCUCUUGGUUCUGGCAUCGAUGAAGAACGCAGCGAAAUGCGAUAAGUAAUGUGAAUUGCAGAAUUCAGUGAAUCAUCGAAUCUUUGAACGCACAUUGCCGCCCGCCAGCAUUCUGGCGGGCAUGCCUGUUCGAGCGUCA